rnacentral:rRNA from 1 species
GAUGAACGCUGGCGGCGUGCCUAAUACACGCAAGUCGAGCGAACGGACGAGAAGCUUGCUUUUCUGAUGUUAGCGGCGGACGGGUGAGUAACACGUGGAUAACCUACCUAUAAGACUGGGAUAACUUCGGGAAACCGGAGCUAAUACCGGAUAAUAUUUUGAACCGCAUGGUUCAAAAGUGAAAGACGGUCUUGCUGUCACUUAUAGAUGGAUCCGCGCUGCAUUAGCUAGUUGGUAAGGUAACGGCUUACCAAGGCAACGAUGCAUAGCCGACCUGAGAGGGUGAUCGGCCACACUGGAACUGAGACACGGUCCAGACUCCUACGGGAGGCAGCAGUAGGGAAUCUUCCGCAAUGGGCGAAAGCCUGACGGAGCAACGCCGCGUGAGUGAUGAAGGUCUUCGGAUCGUAAAACUCUGUUAUUAGGGAAGAACACAUGUGUAAGUAACUGUGCACAUCUUGACGGUACCUAAUCAGAAAGCCACGGCUAACUACGUG